GGUUCAUUACCCGUCGUUAAUACCAUAGUUAGUACCCUCUUCUGAUUAAACGAUAUAUGGCAUAUGAUAUAUAUUUUUCAAUUAACGAUCAUUGGCUUACAUAAAAUGCUGAAGAAACACCACCUAGUGUCAAUACCGCUCAGUAGCAGACAAACUGCCCUGAGGAAAGGAUGAGAUGAGCUUACUGGUUUUCCUCCACACCUGAGCACCACGGGCACAAACUGGAAUCCAGACUCCAGGUGAAAAUCCAUCAUUUCAACCUUACCGCCUGCUCAAUUGACCAUCACACAUGUAUACACCUUCUCGACACCCAUGCGUCUCGUCACCCAUUGUGAGGAACUCAGCCACCAUCCCUGUCCACCCCAGCAUCUGAGUUAGGCCCCCCCUUAGAGGUGUAGACCUCCUCCUCUCUCACACAUGUCUGACACUCCACGUGGCAGCACCAGCGUACCUGGCAGUGGCAAGACAGGCUGGUGAGGCGCAUGGCUGUGUUGUAACCACGUCCGCAGCACAGACUCUGACAACUGGU